UACGUAGGUGGCAAGCGUUGUCCGGAUUUAUUGGGCGUAAAGCGCGCGCAGGCGGUCCUUUAAGUCUGAUGUGAAAUCUUGCGGCUCAACCGCAAGCGGUCAUUGGAAACUGGGGGACUUGAGUACAGAAGAGGAAAGCGGAAUUCCACGUGUAGCGGUGAAAUGCGUAGAUAUCGGGAGGAACACCUGAGGCGAAGGCGGGCUACUGGGCCGAUACUGACGCUGAUGCGCGAAAGCCAGGGGAGCGAACGGG
rnacentral:rRNA from 1 species